AGUACGGCCGCAAGGUUAAAACUCAAAUGAAUUGACGGGGGCCCGCACAAGCGGUGGAGCAUGUGGUUUAAUUCGAUGCAACGCGAAGAACCUUACCUGGUCUUGACAUCCACGGAAGUUUUCAGAGAUGAGAAUGUGCCUUCGGGAACCGCGAGACAGGUGCUGCAUGGCUGUCGUCAGCUCGUGUUGUGAAAUGUUGGGUUAAGUCCCGCAACGAGCGCAACCCUUAUCCUUUGUUGCCAGCGGUCCGGCCGGGAACUCAAAGGAGACUGCCAGUGAUAAACUGGAGGAAGGUGGGGAUGACGUCAAGUCAUCAUGGCCCUUACGACCAGGGCUACACACGUGCUACAAUGGCGCAUACAAAGAGAAGCGACCUCGCGAGAGCAAGCGGACCUCAUAAAGUGCGUCAUAGUCCGGAUUGGAGUCUGCAACUCGACUCCAUGAAGUCGGAAUCGCUAGUAAUCGUGGAUCAGAAUGCCACGGUGAAUACGUUCCCGGGCCUUGUACACACCGCCCGUCACACCAUGGGAGUGGGUUGCAAAAGAAGUAGGUAGCUUAACCUUCGGGAGGGCGCUUACCACUUUGUGAUUCAUGACUGGGGUGAAGUCGUAACAAGGUAACC
rnacentral:rRNA from 1 species